ACGGGAGGCAGCAGUGGGGAAUAUUGCACAAUGGGGGAAACCCUGAUGCAGCAACGCCGCGUGAGUGAUGACGGCCUUCGGGUUGUAAAGCUCUGUCUUUGGGGACGAUAAUGACGGUACCCAAGGAGGAAGCCACGGCUAACUACGUGCCAGCAGCCGCGGUAAUACGUAGGUGGCAAGCGUUGUCCGGAUUUACUGGGCGUAAAGGGAGCGUAGGCGGAUUUUUAAGUGGGAUGUGAAAUACCCGGGCUCAACCUGGGUGCUGCAUUCCAAACUGGAAAUCUAGAGUGCAGGAGGGGAAAGUGGAAUUCCUAGUGUAGCGGUGAAAUGCGUAGAGAUUAGGAAGAACACCAGUGGCGAAGGCGACUUUCUGGACUGUAACUGACGCUGAGGCUCGAAAGCGUGGGGAGCAAACAGGAUUAGAUACCCUGGUA
rnacentral:rRNA from 1 species